AAAAUCAAAAUUAAAAAAAAAAAAUAUUUUUUCAUCCAAAUAUGAAUAAUUAAAAAUAAAUAAAUAAAUAAAUAAAACCUUCUAAUGAACACCUGGGAACAUGUAAAGAUUUUUUGCUAAUGUCAUCAGAAAAUAACUCAAGAAGAAUAAACAAUUACUGGUUUAGUGUGAAAUCCAUCAAAUCUGAGGAUAUUAUUCACAAUAUUGGCUUAACAUGUGCAGCCUUAUAAAUUGCCCCUCUUUUUCCCUAUAAAAUACCCUUUUCCACCAACCUUACUCAAUGAAAAGAAUCUAAAGAUAAGAUGCAUGUAUUUGCUUUAUUAUUGAUUUCAAUCGAAUCCCCUUUGGGAAAUUGUUUGCUAUGCCUUUACCAUAAGUAAGGAUAUCGACAGAAUCUCUCCAUGGCAUCACUAACAACCGGAUUUUAGAUAUUCAUAGGAUCUCAUAAAUAGUUUUUUGAAAUCAAAACAAUUUUUUCAAAUUAGAGUGUGUCAUAAAGUCUAUUUUACAAAACGUUUAGUUAUUUUAUGAUAGCUUAGAAAAAAGUUGUUUAGUGAUAGUACACAUCACGUUUUGAUUUAAGUUUUUAAAGCAGUGGGAUUUUCAAAGCUGGAGUCCUUUCAACUUUUAGAAAAAAUAUUUUCACAGAAUUAUGUACUUUACUAAAAUUCUAUAUAAGUUUACAAAAAUAAACUCAUAUUAGAAACAACAUAUAUGGUACAAUUAUUAACAACCCCACACUCCACCUCCCAUUUUACUUUAUGAUACUUUAUAUCAAACUUUAAGAAAGUUUUUUCCCACUGUCUCAAUUUCUCAAUAAUAUAUUUUGGGGAUAUAUUACUAAAAUAACCAAAAUAGGAUUCGUUAUCAUUGCUUUGAAAAAUUGGUUUGACUAGUUUUGCAAAUUGCUGUUUUUUUUUGGCUAAAUUUUAGGUUUCAAUAGUGAUUCGUGCGCAUCAGCCAAUUAAGUACGCAAGAAGAACAGGAAAACACUAUACCAAACGACAAACAUAAUACCAAAUAGUAUCUAAAAACAAAUAUUUAUGCUAAAAUUAAUUAAGGAUUCACAGUCAACAUAUAUUUUUUACUUAAUUAAAAAUUUCGUAAAUGCGAAUAUUAUUUGACAGAAUACCACUUAUUACUUUGCAAAUAUGAAUUCUCAAUCUGCUCCCCAAAUGUUCAUAUACACAAGGGGUGCACCAAUGUGUUCUCUUUCUUGAAUGACCAAUUAUGCUACAGCUACUAUAUUUCAAAUGAUUUUUUUAUUUAGUAAUUGAUAAAUAUAAUAUAUCUUAGAAUUUAUUGGAUAAGAAACAGUAGGUGUGAACACCUCAAAAGUUAGGUGUGGCCAUCUCCAAAUUACCAUCACGCCCCUUCCCCUCACAAAAGUCUUAUAUAAUUUGGCUUUUGUCAUACUUGUAUCUUUCACAGUUCUUAGUAUUAUCCUCAAAAAAAAAAAAAAAAAAAAAAAUUCUUGUGGUUACAGGGAAGAAGAAAAGAGAAGCAUUCACACUCACACAGAGGUAUUCGUUCUCCUUUCUUUACUGAUUCACAUACACACAAUAUCUAUUUAGUUUUCACAAAUAAAGUUGUAUUGUUUUGUUUGAAACAAUCAGUGGUUUCGUUAACCCACAAUGCCUCUUUAGUUUUCUCCUUUGAUUUUGGAAAUAUUGGUUUGUGAAAGAACAAUAACUGAUGGAAACCGGAAAGAAACAUGCACUCACUAAAAACUCGUAUUUCUUCAUCAAAAUUGGAAAAGGGAGAAAGUUGAUUGAUCCUUUUGAAAAUUUUAACAUAGGUUUUGAUUGUUGUAAGUAUUUUGGAUUCAAUUUUUUACGUAGUAAUAUUUCUGUUCUGAUUAAAUGUUUCAUUUUGAGUUUUGUAUUUUUGAUUUUAUAGAAACAAUAAAUAUGAUAAAACGGUUAAAAGGCAAAUCUGAUGGUGAUGAGUGGCUGGACAGGUUUUUAACAUAACUGAUAACAUUAAUCGUUAUUGGUAUGAAAUAUUUUGGAUCAAAAGUAAAAAUGAACUUGACCACUAUAAAUUAAAGUUAAACUUGAAAAAUAUUGAAUACUUUAAUGAUGAAGUGUGUAUCUUGCUUUUAUAUAGAUACAUUUGUUUUAAGAGACUAUUACACAAACUGACUAAAAUAGAUAAGAGUAUGAUAACAAAUGGGACAAAACUGCAAAUAUAAUCCUUGUGGUAUGUAUUUUUUUAUUCAGGAAAAACGUCCAAACCAUUAAAGUUUUGGAUUGGUGGUCUUUUUGAGCAUCUUUCAUUGCAUAUUUGGUCAUCAGAAAACUGAAAAGACUAAAUCGCCUUUUUGAUAAUUUUUUUUUGCUUUUUUCUUUAUAAUUUAAAAUUUUAUUAAUCUCUCUCUCUCUCUCUCUCAUAAAAGAAAAAAAAAAAACCCCACCCUCAUUUCAUCUUUUUGAACUCACAUUGAUACAAAUGUUUGAAGAAACAAUCGAUGAAACAUGGUAAUUAGAUUGAGAAAUCUUCUUUCAAGACUUGUACUCUGUUUCUCUGGGUUGUUCUUUUCAGCAAUAACAUAGAUCUAUUUUGGUUUUGAACUACAAAAAGUACAGAAAAGUAGGAUACUUGAUACUUGUAAGGAUCCAUUGCAGAACCAAAUGUUUAGGAAGCUAUGAACACAUUGUAUUUUGUUCAUCUAUAUCAAUAACAUAACAAGAAAAACCCAAAAUUGCAAAACAAGAAUACCCAACAUUUUCAAAUUACAGAUGACGAUAAGAGAUAGAGACAUGGAUUUGGAACUGGAUAAGAGAUCAAGAGAAAUGAAGCACUUCAUAUUUGAUAUUAAAGACAGUGUUUGAGAUUGAGCGAGAGAGAUGAAGCUGAACAUGCAAAUAUAAAAAGCACACCCCACCCGGAGUCCUUAAACGAUUAAUCAAGGUUGUGUAAUUUGCAUUAUAUUUUCAUCGCAAUCAUUCAAGGUUCUUAACCUUUAACCCUUAUGUUGAUUUACUUUCAAGAUUUUUGGACAUUCACAAUUAUAUUCCUUCUACAUGAUUUCAUUUGUAGUGGUAGUACAUGAAGCCCACCAUGAGGUAUUCAACAGAAAGACAUGAUGUAAAAGGAAGAUGAUAGUGAAAGUUCAAAGGUUUUGAAAGUAAGUUAAGGAAGAUAAUAGUGAAAGUUCAAAGGUUUUGAAAGUAAGUUUAUGCUCAUCCAGUAAAUUUAUGGAUAGAAGGAUCCAUAAAUUACAUGCACGGAAAGGGUGCAACAUCCUAAAACAAAAAUCACAAAAAAUUUAAACUUUUUACAACAACUCCAAAUCAUAGAAUGUUUACAAAAUCAUUGUUUUCAAAGUAUUGUUCAAUAUCAGAGUAUCUCAUAGAUCAAAAGUACAUAAAGCAGAGGAUGUGUACGGUCAUUUUUAAAGCCUUUACAGCUCCUUAGUUUGAGACUGGAUUCACACGGAUGUUCUUCCAAUUCGCUCAAACCAAGACUCUGAUACCAACUUGUAACAUCCCAACAAAAAAAUCACAAGAAAUUUAAACCUUUUAAAACAACCACAAAUCAUAGAAUGUUUAUAAUAUCAUUGUUUUCAAAGUAUUGUUCCAUAUCAGAAUAUCCCAUAGAUCAAAGGUACAAUAAACAGAGGAUGUGUACAUAAAUCGUUAUUUUCUAAGUAUUGACACAGACCCUCAACAUGUCAUUUAGUGUCUGAAUGGUCCACUCACUCUGGCCAUUAGUCUGUGGAUGAUAAGUUGUGCUAAAAUGCAGUCUCGUAUCCAAUUCCUCAUGGAACUUCUGCCAAAAAACGAGAUGUGAACCGAACAUCCCGAUCCGAUACAAUGGAGAGAGGAAUACCAUGUCGAGCGACAAUCUGCCGUACAUAUAAAUCGGCCAAUUUCUCGGCCAAAGAACUCUCUCGAAUUGCUAAGAAGUGAGCACUUUUGUUCAGAAGAUCCACAAUCACCUAAUUCGCCUCAAAUCCCUUAGUCGUUCGAGGUAAUUUGGUGAUAAAAUCCACAGUGAUCUGUUUGCACUUCCACAUGGGAACCUCCAAAAGCUGUAACUUCCCAUAUGACCUUUGAUGCUCGUUUUUGACCAUCCUAUAGGUCAAGCACGUCUUGACAUAUGAGGUCAUCUCUCUCUUCUUACACAGUCACCAAUUGCUUAAUCUUGAAUCCCGAUAUAUCUUGGUGGCUCCCGGGUGAAUAGAAAAGCGAGACUUAUAAGCCUCCUCCAGCACUAUCUUCCUAAUCCCACUGGAAACUGCAACCCAAACCUAACCGCAUCGGGUCAAAAACCCCCUCUCUCUUCAUACACGGCCACCAAUUGCUUAAUCUCAAAUCCCGAUAUAUCUUGGUGGUUCCCGGGUGAAUAGAAAAGUGAGACUUAUAAGCCUCCUCCAGCACUAUCUUCCUAAUCCCACCGGAAACUGCAACCCAAACCUGACCGCAUUAGGUCAACAACCUCGAGUAUCGGUGACAAACUUGUCGAGGCUGCAUCUCCCUAACUAUAUGACGCCUAGCGUUCGAACGUUGGGCAUUCCCAUGCAAACGGUUGGCGUUUGCUCGUUGAUUACCAACUUCCAAACCAAUAUCUUAAAGGCUUAAGAUAUCAUGUCCAAACUUCAGAUCCAAUCAUAAUGGAACGUCUAAAUCCAUAAAGUUGCAAAAUUUUUCGCUCCAAAACUGUUGCAUGGAAGAUUAUGAAGACCUAAUAUUGCAUUUUUAUGAUUCUAGACACACUAUUAUGCUUGAAAGGACAGUCCAAACCUCUGAAGCAUUCCAAACUAUGAAAGAUCAAGUCUUUGGGACCAAAAAGUACACAAACUAGCCCUAAAUCAAGAUCUAACAAACGAGACAUCAAGAUUUGAACUUUAUACCUCAAAAUGAUGCUCCAAGAUGUCAAUAGUCCAGAUCCACAAGUUAGAGAGCAACCACUAUACUCCAAAGAUCUUCCUUCUCUUAUCAAGAACAAUAAAUGAUACCAAAAAGAUGAACCAAGGCUUCAAACUCUCAUACACACUUAGGGUUUUCAAAAUGAGGAUGGAGGUUGGAGUGGUGAAGGGUUUUGAGACCAUAAUGUUCUUUAAAUAGGGUAUGAACUCUACAAAUUAGGGUUUGGUCUUUGCGUGCAAACGCCUGGCGUCCAUCAUAGAACGUCCAGCGUUUUAUGCCAAACGCAUGGCGUUUGGACCAAAGACUUCAUCAUCGGGAUGUUACAGCUUCAUUCUUUCUUACAAAAGAAAGGUGGGUGAUGGAAAUCUACGCGCUUCUGGCACGAUGUUUGGCUAGGUGACUUACCACUUAAUGUUAGAUUCGCAAGAUUGUUUUGUUUGUAAUUUCAACAAAAUUGUUGGUGUGAGUGGUAUGAUGGGUGGAAUUGGUCUUGGUCUCGGCCUAUACGUGGAGGGGUCAGUAGCCGUCAACUUGAAGAUCUUUUAAUGUUGUUGCAAGGCAUAUGUUUUUCUAAUGAUCGAGACCAUUAGAGAUGGUUUUUAGACAAAUAUGUUUUUUUCUCUAUUAAGGAAAUCAGGUUGCACAUUGACAAUUUGACUCUUCCUUAUAACAUUAUGGAAACUAGGUGGUAUAAAUUCCUUCCUAAGAAGGUUAAUAUUCUUGUUUGGAGAAUUGUACUUAACAUGUUCCCUUCUAGAUGGAAUCUUAGUCGAAAAUGUGACGAUCUUAACACCCUCAUGUGCGUUGUUUGCUUGUUUGUUCUAGAAGAGAUAGACCAUCAUGGACGAUGUUUAUUAUAACAUUUCAUUUCAGUGUUUUUUGAUAUAUAUACUUUUUUUAUGUAUAAUAAAAAUUCAUACACUAAAAAAUACUGAAGUAUCAAAAAUAAAAAAAUUAAAAUCAAAAAAAAAAAAUACAAAUUAAAAUAUUUAUAUAAAAUAUGUUUUGUUUUUUUUUAGGAUAAUUAAGAUGUGUUCGGUUCAAAGUUUUUAACAACUUUUAGUUUUUAAUUAAAAAAAAAAAAAAAAAAAAAAAAAAAAAAAAAAAAAAAAAAAAAAAACUUGUUAAGCAGCAAGAGAGUUUAACUUUUAUUUUAAAUAAAACAUUCAUAAUCCAAAAACCACUUCAAAUAUCCUUUUCCAUCUUUUUAACUUUUGGUUUUUAUAUGACUUAUACCAUUAAAAGUUAACUAACUUUUCCUAACAAUAAAAACUAUAUUCUUCAAUUUUCAGAUGUCAUCUAUUAGUUAGUUUGACUAAAACACUCUAAAAACAUUAGAAUUUUUUAAAACUUAGAUUAAAUUUUGAUGUGGAUAUUUUUCAUGUUAAUUAGUUUCUCCCUUCUUAUGUUUUUCAUAUUAAUUAGUUUCUCCCUUCUUAUGUUUGUAACUUGUUAAUAUUUUGUACAUGUAAUGUUUCUUUUCUCGCAGACUAGUUCCUUGCUAGUUUUGGCCCUUUUUAUAUAUAAUCAUUAGCAAUUUCAAAAAAAAAAAAAAGUUUAAAAUGUCAAUUACAGUCAUAUUAAUUUUUCUAUAGUAUGAAAAACUAGAGGUAGUUGCGUUUCUUUCUAAAUUUAUAAUUUUUUUUAAUUGGGUAAUUAAAUGAAAAUUGAAGGUUUAUGUAUCCACACAUAACACAUUUACCAAUUUGCACUUCUCCCCACUUCCUCGCCACCGCUGUUCAUCGACGUCAUCGCCAGUCGCACCCUCUUAUCCCAAGUUCGGCACUUCAUCGCCACUGCCGUUUAUUGGCGUCUCUAUCUGUACGCACCUCCUUCUACUUAGUCGUCCCGACUGUAAUUCAACUAUUGUUACACUAAAUUCAAGGAAACUGCUCUUCCAAUUUGGUAGCAUUUGACAUCAUGGAUCAACGAACAACUUUGUUAAACUUUAAAGUAUUUAACAUGAGGGGAGCUGCUCUUCAAUUUGGUAAAAGCAUUUGACAUCAGAGUUCUUAUAAUAUCUAUAGUUCUUUUUUUUUUCUCGGUUGCAAAGGAAUCAACGAACAACCUUAUGUUUCAGUCUUGAAAUUGAUGAUUUCUUAUUGGGCGUGAUUGGUUCGAUGCAUCUGUUCAUUAGAUUGUUGGACUUGCUAAAAUAAUUUAUAUUGAUUUGCUCUGAUUGUGAACCCAGUACUUUCUCUGUUUCUCUGAUUCACGUAUCGUACAAUUUGAUUGUCUGUUGUGGUGCUUUUGCUAAGUACAUGUAUUCGUUAACCUGAGGCUUGAUUGUUGUAGAUAGUGUGAAAUAGAUUCUCAAUUGGUUCUUUUUUUUUUUUUUAUCACUGUCUUUCCCUCCUAUUGUUAAAGAAGAUGCAAAUUCUACGGUCUUGUUGAUUUGGUAACAUAGUGAAAUCAAAAUCUGAGUGAUUUAAUUUGUUAAACUUUUUCUUUCUCAUUGAUUGAUCAAAUAUAAUUGUAUCAUUAUUUAUAUAAAAAAAUGUUAUUCAAGUAUUUUAUAGUUUGUAUAUUUACAAUUACAUUUAAGAGAAGUUCUCAAACGAAUAAUUAUUUUCUUUUUCUGCAUACUUGUGCAUUUGAGGGUGAGGGUAUAACAAUCAUUCACUCUUACUCAAACGGUUCAAGGAUUUGGUUGCCAAUCGUUAUAAUCUCUAAUGGUAUAAUAUUAAAAUAAUAGUCUUAGAUUUCUGACAAUUUAAUAAGUUGUAAAGAUUGAAUAUAUUUUGUUCAACUUUCGACCUAAUUAACAUGUUUUAUGAUUGGGUUAAUUGCAAAUAAUACAAGAUACAUUCACCAUUUAUUAUUUCAUGCAACAUGUUCUUUCAGUAGUUUAAUGUAACCAACUACAUUUUCUACCAUAUUAUGCAACAACCACACGAUUAUAUUACUGUUUUAUUUGAUGUUUUAUAUUAAUUGAUUAAAUGUUAAGAAACAUUAAGCUUGUUACAGGAGAUAGUUGUAUAAAUUGGUGUGUGUGUGUGUAUUCUUUGCAAUCAGGACUUAAUUUUUACCUAAGUUUUAAAUUUUAAAUGUCAAAACAUUAUCUAUAAUUCAUUUUAGUUUAUGAGAUGGUUCUUUUUACAUUUUAGAUCAUCAAUAUAUGCUAACAACCUUUCUCAGUGAAAUGAAUCUAGCAUAUUCUUGUAAUUGCUCAGUCAUAGAUUUCCAAUCAAGUUGCAUUGAAUUCAAUUUCUAAUUCGGUCGCUUUUAUAUGUGUAGGGGCAACUAAAAGUAAAAAUAUUAAGCAAUGGCGAUUGUGGAUUCAGUUGUUGACCCAACAGGGAUUGUUGGUGCCAUUAUUAAUCCAAUUGCUCAAACGGCCUUGGUUCCCCUUACAGACCAUGUAGGCUACAUGAUUUCCUGCAGAAAAUAUGUGAGGGACAUGCAAAUGAAAAUGACAGAGUUAAAUACCUCAAGAAUCAGUGCAGAGGAACACAUUAGCCGGAACACAAGAAAUCAUCUUCAGAUUCCAUCUCAAAUUAAGGAUUGGUUGGACCAAGUAGAAGGGAUCAGAGCGAAUGUUGCAAACUUUCCAAUUGAUGUCAUCAGUUGUUGUAGUCUCAGGAUCAGGCACAAGCUUGGACAGAAAGCCUUCAAGAUAACUGAGCAGAUCGAAAGUCUAACGAGACAAAAUUCGCUGAUUAUCUGGACUGAUGAACCUGUUCCCCUGGGAAGAGUUGGUUCCAUGAUUGCAUCCACCUCUGCAGCAUCAAGUGAUCAUCAUGAUGUCUUCCCUUCAAGAGAGCAAAUUUUUAGGAAAGCACUAGAAGCACUUGAACCCGUCCAAAAAUCCCACAUAAUAGCCUUAUGGGGGAUGGGCGGAGUGGGGAAGACCACGAUGAUGAAGAAGCUGAAGGAGGUCGUGGAACAAAAGAAAAUGUUCAAUAUUAUUGUUCAAGUGGUCAUAGGAGAGAAGACAAACCCUAUUGCUAUUCAGCAAGCUGUAGCAGAUUACCUCUCUAUUGAGCUGAAAGAAAACACUAAAGAAGCAAGAGCUGAUAAGCUUCGUAAAUGGUUCGAGGACGAUGGAGGAAAGAAUAAGUUCCUUGUAAUACUUGAUGAUGUAUGGCAGUUUGUUGAUCUUGAAGAUAUUGGUUUAAGUCCUCUGCCAAAUAAAGGUGUCAACUUCAAGGUCUUGUUGACGUCAAGAGAUUCACAUGUUUGCACUCUGAUGGGAGCCGAAGCCAAUUCAAUUCUCAAUAUAAAAGUUUUAACAGCUGUAGAAGGACAAAGUUUGUUCCGCCAGUUUGCUAAAAAUGCGGGUGAUGAUGACCUGGAUCCUGCUUUCAAUAGGAUAGCAGAUAGUAUUGCAAGUAGAUGUCAAGGUUUGCCCAUUGCCAUCAAAACCAUUGCCUUAAGUCUUAAAGGUAGAAGCAAGUCUGCAUGGGACGUUGCACUUUCUCGUCUGGAGAAUCAUAAGAUUGGUAGUGAAGAAGUUGUGCGUGAAGUUUUUAAAAUUAGCUAUGACAAUCUCCAAGAUGAGGUUACUAAAUCUAUUUUUUUACUUUGUGCUUUAUUUCCUGAAGAUUUUGAUAUUCCUACUGAGGAGUUGAUGAGGUAUGGAUGGGGCUUGAAAUUAUUUAUAGAAGCAAAAACUAUAAGUGAAGCAAGAAACAGGCUCAACACCUGCACUGAGCGGCUUAGGGAGACAAAUUUGUUAUUUGGAAGUGAUUACUUUGGGUGCGUCAAGAUGCACGAUGUGGUGCGUGAUUUUGUUUUGCAUAUGUUUUCAGAAGUCGAGCAUGCUUCAAUUGUCAACCAUGGUAACAUGUCAGAGUGGCCAGAGAAAAAUGAUACCAGCAACUCUUGUAAAAGAAUUUCAUUAACAUGCAAGGGUAUGUCUAAGUUUCCUAAAGACCUCAACUAUCCAAACCUUUCAAUUUU
rnacentral:lncRNA from 1 species